rnacentral:hammerhead_ribozyme from 1 species
ACACCGAUGAGGAGUCGCAUACUAAGACUAAACAGCCGUCCAGUAU